GCCUCUGUGCUCAGAUGGUUACAGAGCUACACCAGAAUCGCAGGGUGGCAGGUUCGAUUCCUGCCAGAGACC